rnacentral:tRNA from 1 species
GGUUAUGGCUCAGUGGUAGAGCACUCACCUAGCAUGUAUGAGGCACUGGGUUCAAUCCUCAGCACCA